rnacentral:lncRNA from 1 species
AUUCCAUCUUGUUGCCUUCCAGAGGAUGAAGGGGAUUGUAGUAAGGAAGACCACCUUCCAGAGGAUGAAGGGGAUUGUAGAAGGAAGACCACCUUCCCGGGGCUGGGCAAGGCUGCGGUACUGUCUCUCAUCAGGUCCAGGAGGACUCAGCAGGCUGAUGCAGAGGGACACAGCGCAUCCGCCUUGGUGGAUGCAUGGCUUUCCUGGCUCCCCUGGGACGGGGGAGGAGGGUGAAGAUGGAGGGAAUCUGGCUGGCUGGGCCUUGUGUACUGGGGGGUGGAGGGCCCAUUUGACUGCAGGAAUUGCUCAAGCACAUAAGCACCUUGAAGUGUGUUACUAAGAUACAAGAAACAGGUUUGCUUUUGCCUAUUCCAGCAUGGUGUACCUCUCUUAGGAUACCUUUUAGCACAGGUAGCAGAAUACCAGCCAGCCUCCUGUGGCUCACAGCAUUAAGAUAUUUAAUCAUCUGACAUUACAUGAAGUCCAGUGUUAGGCAGGCAGGAGCUGCUCCCGUGACUCAGUGACAUCAGGUUGGUCCACAUCCUAGCAGUUCUCUUGGUGUUCCUGCGUGAUCAAAGGAUGACUGCCACACCCCAGCCUGCUGACCUCAGCCCUGGCGUGGGCAUAGGAGGGUCUGCGUGGCUGAGCAUCCAGUGUCCUUCGUACUGCCACUGACAGCCUCAGGCCUGAUUUCCAGCACUGUCUGUCCAGGAGCAAUGGGAGCAAGAGUCACUCCACGAGACUCUGGAGGCCUGAUAGACAAAAUACAUGAAGACCAGUUUCUACACAGAGA